AUUGAACGCUGGCGGCAGGCCUAACACAUGCAAGUCGAACGAGUGGCGGACGGGUGAGUAAUGUCUGGGAAACUGCCCGAUGGAGGGGGAUAACUACUGGAAACGGUAGCUAAUACCGCAUAACAUCGGAGAUGCCAAUGUGUGAUUAGCUAGGAGGUGGGGUAAAGGCUCACCUAGGCGACGAUCCCUAGCUGGUCUGAGAGGAUGACCCGCCACACUGGAACUGAGACACGGUCCAGACUCCUACGGGAGGCAGCAGUGGGGAAUAUUGCACAAUGGGCGCAAGCCUGAUGCAGCCAUGCCGCGUGUAUGAAGAAGGCCUUCGGGUUGUAAAGUACUUUCAGCGGGGAGGCGUUACCUGCAGAAGAAGCACCGGCUAACUCCGUGCCAGCAGCCGCGGUAAUUC
rnacentral:rRNA from 1 species